AGCGAACGCUGGCGGCAGGCCUAACACAUGCAAGUCGAACGAACCUUUCGGGGUUAGUGGCGGACGGGUGAGUAACACGUGGGAACGUGCCUUUAGGUUCGGAAUAACUCAGGGAAACUUGUGCUAAUACCGAAUGUGCCCUUCGGGGGAAAGAUUUCUCGCCUUUAGAGCGGCCCGCGUCUGAUUAGCUAGUUGGUUGAGGUAAUGGCUCACCAAGGCGACGAUCAGUAGCUGGUCUGAGAGGAUGAUCAGCCACAUUGGGACUGAGACACGGCCCAAACUCCUACGGGAGGCAGCAGUGGGGAAUCUUGCGCAAUGGGCGAAAGCCUGACGCAGCCAUGCCGCGUGAAUGAUGAAGGUCUUAGGAUUGUAAAAUUCUUUCACCGGGGACGAUAAUGACGGUACCCGGAGAAGAAGCCCCGGCUAACUUCGUG
rnacentral:rRNA from 1 species